rnacentral:rRNA from 1 species
UCCUUGGGAUACCACCCUUGUAGUACUGGGACUCUAACCAUAGGCCAUGAAUCUGGUCUUGGGACACUGUCAGGUGGGCAGUUUGACUGGGGCGGUCGCCUCCCAAAAGGUAACGGAGGCGCUCAAAGGUUCUCUCAGUACGGUCGGAAAUCGUACGUAGAGUGUAAAGGCAAAAGAGAGCUUGAUUGCAAGACAUACAGGUCGAGCAAGGAUGAAAAUCGGACUUAGUGAUCCGGUGGUUCUGCGUGGAAGGGCCAUCGCUCAACGGAUAAAAGCUACCCUGGGGAUAACAGGCUUAUCUCCCCCAAGAGUCCACAUCGACGGGGAGGUUUGGCACCUCGAUGUCGGCUCAUCACAUCCUGGGGCUGUAGUAGGUCCCAAGGGUUGGGCUGUUCGCCCAUUAAAGUGGUACGCGAGCUGGGUUCAGAACGUCGUGAGACAGUUCGGUCCCUAUCCGUCGCAGGCGUAGGAAAUUUGAGAAGACCUGUCCUUAGUACGAGAGGACCGGGAUGGACG